rnacentral:rRNA from 1 species
UACGUAGGGUGCAAGCGUUGUCCGGAAUUAUUGGGCGUAAAGAGCUCGUAGGCGGUUUGUCGCGUCUGGUGUGAAAAUCCAGGGCUUAACCCUGGACCUGCAUCGGGUACGGGCAGACUAGAGUGCGGUAGGGGAGAUCGGAAUUCCUGGUGUAGCGGUGAAAUGCGCAGAUAUCGGGAAGAACACCGGUGGCGAAGGCGGCUCUCUGGACCUGUCCUGACGCUCAGGCGCGAAAGCUAGGGGAGCGAACAGG